GGCCAUGGUGAGUGUAAACAUCUGCCUUUCAGGCUGAGUGGACGCACAUCCUCCCACCUUAGCUAGAGGGGUAGCUCUGGAUAUGUACCUCCUGUCUCCACCGGCCUCAGUGAUAGGGCCUUGGGCUAGUUAUUUUCCAAGACAACCCAUGCCGUCAGGGUCGCGCCCAGGUGUGGACAGUAAUGUGGGGUUCUGGCAUCUGACAGACUUAGAAGGAACAUGGAAAAUUGGUUCUGUCUGAUUCCAUGUCCCCACUUAGUGAGGAAACGUUGUUGAAGUGCCAAAGGAGAUCAGUCAAAGGAUGCUCUCCCAGUAUGCAGCAAUGGAGGUUCAGCUGUAGAAUUCUCACCUUGCAUGUGGGAGACCUGGAUUCGAAUCCCAGCCAAUGCACGUCAUAUGCAGCCACCACCCAUCUGUCAACGGAGGCUUGCAUGUUACUAUGGUACUGAAGAGAUUUCAGCAGAGCUUCUAGACUCAGAUGGACUUGGAAUAAAGGCCUGGAGAAGGAUUUCUGAAAACCAGCCAAUGAAAGCCCUAUGGAUCACAUCUGUGAUCUGAAACCUAUCAUGGAUUGUGCAGGACUGGGCAUUGCUUUGUUCCGCUGUGCAUGGAGUCACUAUAAGUUGAGCGCUGACUCGAUGGAAACUUAUCACAACCUCUCCCAGUGUCCCUCUCCAAUAGCUGGAAUAGACUGUCCCAACAUGGGGAGGUCUAGUGUGGUCUGCUCAGGAUAGUCUGACAUCCCCUAGCCUGCCGGCGAGGAAGAUCAAGGCAUCUCUGAUGACAGCCUCUAUUUCUUCUAUGCUGUCAGCUCUGGCAACCCCUGUCCCCAGCACCUCUCUCCAGGUGCAACCCUCAGGCCAUUCCAGCUGCCAGAUAAUCUGUUCCCCAGGAAAUGCCUGGCUCGGCCAACAUCCACAGGUUGGCUCUGGUGCUGACUCCAUAAAAGUUUUCACUCCCUGGCUGCUGGAAGGCAUGUAAGCUUAAGGGGAGCUGGCAGGAGGUCAGAGGAAGGAGUGACACCAAGGCAGAGGGUUUACCUGGGCUCUCUCCCUCAGCGAACUGGCUCUGUUUUGUCAAGGUGGCCUCCAGGCUUCAGCAACUGCCCCUCCGUCCCUCCUCCUUCAGGCCCAGUGUUUUUUUUACCAGCUCUGGAGUCUGCAGUGAUCCUGCAGAACUCAGCUGUCAUGCUGUGAGAAGCCCCAGCCCUAUGAAGAGUUCACAAGUAGACUCUCCAUUCAGUUAUUCCAGCUGGACUCCCAGCUACCAACCUGCAUCAACUGCCAGCCUUUUGAGGGAACCACAGUGGAUCUUCCAGCCCAUUUAAGCCAUCAGAUGACUGCAGCUGCAGCCAAAAUCUCACUACUACCACAUGGGAAGCAUCAGUUGUCUGUGACUCUGUGUGGCUCUAGUGUCGGUGCAUUCCUUGUUCUGGAAUCCAGGCUGAAGGAGAAGUGUUUUCGGAACACGUCACUCUCAAGCAAGAGAAAGGAUCAAUGGUGGAGCCACACUUUGGACACAGGGUGGGUAAUCAAGGCCAAUGUCAGUGGUGGCAUGAGUAUCCUCCUCUCAGGGGGAUAGCAUGCUCACAGCAAGUAGGGGACAGUGAAUAGUGAGGAGCAGUACUGUGAUUUACCAUCAGGAUGAGGAUACAGCUGGAGAGCUCAGCACAGUCUGCCUGAGAGCCAAUGCAUCUGCUAGGUCUUGUGCAUUUUGUGCAUCAUGCUUUCCCGGGUUUCUCUUUGUAUUCCCUGUUGCCGUUGGGCUCGUCUUGGUGUGGGCUUUUCUCACAUCCUAUGUGGACAAGCUCUUACCUCUCCUCUGGUCUCUUUCCUCUGGGCUGACUACCUGUAGCCUGUAUUGAACAGAGCUUGGGGGAUGGCCAUAUGUUGGGGAAAGUUACUAGCCUUGAAUCCAGAUUUCCGUGUACAGACUCACCACUCCACAUGCCAGUGGGGAGACAUUGGUCAUGUUAGGGAAGGUUACUAGCCUUGAGUCCACAGGUCUAGGUACAGACCCACCUUUCCACAUGUCAGAUGACCUUUGCCAUCUACCCAGCCCUGGCCACAUCCAUACCUGGGCCUGGGCUGGACCCUGGGAAGCAACAUAAAGAAAGGGCUGGGAUGUCAUUGCUCUUUUCUCCCCCCUCCUUGCCCAUGCUGCAGUUCUGCAAACUUGAAGGAACAUUUUAGAUGCCAUCCUUGGACUUCACACCAUGGAUGUCCUCCUGGAUGGCCUGGCCAUCGAGUGCAAGGACUGAGCCCGGGGUCCCAAGGGUACUGUGGAGGUCACAGAGUGGCAACCUUCGUUUCACACAGAGCUGCAGGAAAGGGGGUGACCAUGCCCAGCUUUCCAGGCAAGGUUUGAGGGCCAAGACCUUCUCCAGUUGGAGAACUCUCUGGACAUCUGUCUCCUCUGUCUGUGUCUGGGUUUGCUUGGCCGUGUCCUGGCCUCGACUUGGAGUCCAAGUGUGUGAAUGGACUGAUGGCAACUUGGGAGCUCUUUCCACAGCUGGGAUAGGGCUGGCAGGUGGUGUAUCCCUUUGUCUGCAAGGGCACUCAGGCCAGGAAAAAGGACACACCCAAGAACCUUUGCCCCUCACCAGCAGCUAAACGACACGGAAGCCUUAUGGUUUAAAGGGCCACUAUUUGGCAGCACCUACUGAGCACAACCUGCUCUGUCUCAGGCUCCUUGAAGCUUGGCCCUGAGUCUAAUGCAAAGAAUCUCUGGUGGUGUUAUGGGGUGAAUUAUGUCCCCCCCAAAAGUUAUGUUGACUCUGUAAAUAGGAGAGUUCUUGUCAUUCUUUGCCAUCAUGUCAGCCCCCACCUCAUAGUGAGCCUGAGUACAAUGGAACAAAGCGCUGUCUGGUGUUUCUUCACCCCCAUGACCGGUUGUGGAGCAAGCCAUUAUAAUCCACAGAGUUUUUGUUGGUUGGCUUUUAGAAGUAGUUCACCAGGUGUUUCUUCCUAGUCCAACUUAGCCUGGAAACUCCAGUGAAAGCUGUUCAGCAUCAUAGCAACAUGCAAGCCUCCACUGACAGACAGGUGGCGCAUUGGUCAGGAAUUGAAUCCAGGUCUCGUACAUGGAAGGUGAGAAUUCUACCACUGAACCACCAAUACUCUCCUCACCCUUUCCACCCUCCCCCCCAUAAAAAAAAAUUAUGUUGAAGUCUUAACCCUGUCCCUGUAUACUUGACCCUGUUCGUAAACAGGGUAUUCUUUGUCAUGUAAUGAGGUCAUACUGAGUAAGGUAGGUCCUACACAUAAUCAUUUCUGACUGGUGUCUUGUAAAAAGAGCAGGAUAGACACAGAAACGCACACAGGGUGAAGACAAACACCAAGGAAUGCCAAGGAACUGCUGGGGCUAUGAACAAAAACAGACUCCUUCCCCCCUUAGAGCUGAUUCUAGCCUCCAGAACUGUGAGACAAUAAAUUCUGGCUCUUUAAAUCCUUCCAGUUGUGGUAUUUCUCUUAAGGUAGCACAAUGGAAGUAAGACAAGUGGCAAGGACCCAAUCCUGUCAGUACCAUGGCCCCUGUUUCCCACCCACAGCCAUUCCAGAAGUUGGUCCUGGACUCUCAUAGCUUCCCCCCUGGCCUCUGGGUUUUCAGAGCAGCUCCCAAGCAGCACCAUCCAAUGAGCCCCUCCAUACCCCUUGCCCGUAUAAAAUUACCUGCAACUCCCUACAGCCCCUAGGACAUGGGUCAGCAACUCAGAGGCGCUUUUGACCCAGCUCUCUGAAGGCCCUUUGUUGGUCAUCCCACCCAGUUCUGUCCGCCUUCCAGCACAGCCGAGGCUUCUCCCUUAGCAAUGGCCAAGGCUAGACAUGCCUCCUGUUCAGUCCCUUGGGGCUCUGCUCAACAGGCUCUUUGAAUCUCCUGCAACCUACUGGAUCCAUCCAUCUCAGGUGCUGAGAUGGUUACUCCUGACUUGCUGUCUUCAAACUCCUGGGCCCACGGUGAUCG